CUACUUACCUGGCAGGGGAGAUACCGUGAUCAGGAAGGUGGUUUUCCCAGGGCAAGGCUUAUCCGUUACACAUCGGAUGUGCUGACCCCUUCCAUUUCCUCAAAUGCGAGAAACUUGACUGCAUAAUUUGUGGUAGUGAGGGACGACGUUCGCACUGUCCCCUG
ensembl:snRNA U1 U1 spliceosomal RNA